UUGUGAGUAAGGCCUGAUCAAUUCUCACGAUGUUUCCUUCCAUAGGUUGGUUAGAAUCGUGAGGACAAGUUGGUUAGGGGUCACAA
rnacentral:ncRNA from 1 species